GUCUUAUUGAAUAUAAUUUUAAGUCUAAUCUGCCCAAUGAUUAAUUAAAUGGCUGCAGUAUCUUGACUGUACAAAGGUAGCAUAAUAAUUAGUUUCUUAAUUAGGAACUGGAAUGAAUGAUUGGACGAGAUAAUGACUGUCUUGGUUUAAAUUUUAGAAUUUUAUCUUUAAGUUAAAAAGCUUAAAUUUUUUUAAAAGACGAGAAGACCCUAUAGAAUUUUAUAUAAAUUUAAUAUUUUAUUUUUAGAAUUUCAAUAAAAAAUUUUUGAAUGAAUAUUUAGUUGGGGUGAUUGAAAAAUUUAAAAAACUUUUUUUUUAUGAAAACAUGAAUAUAUGAUUAUUUGAUCCAAUUAUAUUGAUUAUAAGAUUAAAUUACCUUAGGGAUAACAGCGUAAUUUUUUUAGAGAGUUCUAAUCGAUAAAAGAGAUUGCGACCUCGAUGUUGGAUUAAAGUUAAUUUUUAAUGAAGAAGUUAAAAUAUUAGGUCUGUUCGACCUUUGAAACUU
rnacentral:rRNA from 1 species